rnacentral:rRNA from 1 species
GAUGAACGCUGGCGGCGUGCCUAAUACAUGCAAGUCGAGCGAACGGACGAGAAGCUUGCUUCUCUGAUGUUAGCGGCGGACGGGUGAGUAACACGUGGAUAACCUACCUAUAAGACUGGGAUAACUUCGGGAAACCGGAGCUAAUACCGGAUAAUAUUUUGAACCGCAUGGUUCAAAAGUGAAAGACGGUCUUGCUGUCACUUAUAGAUGGAUCCGCGCUGCAUUAGCUAGUUGGUAAGGUAACGGCUUACCAAGGCAACGAUGCAUAGCCGACCUGAGAGGGUGAUCGGCCACACUGGAACUGAGACACGGUCCAGACUCCUACGGGAGGCAGCAGUAGGGAAUCUUCCGCAAUGGGCGAAAGCCUGACGGAGCAACGCCGCGUGAGUGAUGAAGGUCUUCGGAUCGUAAAACUCCGUUAUUAGGGAAGAACAUAUGUGUAAGUAACUGCGCACAUCUUGACGGUACCUAAUCAGAAAGCCACGGCUAACUACGUG